AGACAAAAAUUAAACUAAGCAGAGAUUAUUUGACAUAUAAAUGGGCUAGAAUUAAUGGUUUAAAAGAUAAAAACAAUGAAAUUGAUUUUAUGAGAUUCAGAUGUGUUAUUAAUCCCUGAUGGUCAAUUCAGUCACACAGCCUUUAGAGUCUUAUUAAAAGAAGUCAAGACAAAGUAAAGAGUUACAUUUACAUGCCAGUAACAACAGGUCACCAAAGGAGAUAACAAUCUAUUAAAAAAAUACAAUGUCAGAAAUGUCUAAGGUGAUCCUUAAAACCAGGAGGUGACUAUCCUUCCAUGUAGUUUUAAAUUGUGACUUUAGGGCACCAUCCAUUCAGGGUUGAUUAGACCAACUUCAUAUUUUACUACAGAUCAGGUCUGUGAGAUUGAGUGGUUAUAGUUCACUCUCAGGUAUGCUGCAAGAGUUCAGCCAAGUAUGAAUUUCUAAUCUGGCUUUCUUUUUUCUUUACAGCAUCGAAAGGCAGCCAAAAUAAUGUUACACCGAUUGUUGUAGCCAUCGUCUUAUCUCUUGGUGUUGUUUUGGCUAUAAUUUGAAUUCAUCAUCGAAGGAGAAAACAAAAUAAAGCAGAGAACAUGGAAAAUACAGUCUAUGAAGAUCCUCAGGCUGUGAAUACAGACCUCCCUCUGCAGCAGAGACCAACAAAUGAUGCCCCAGCUGGUCCUCUACCCUCCAUCUACUCCUUGUUGGGGCCUCCCAUCGUCUCUGAAGCACCCACUCAGCCCAGAGACAACGCUCAGCCAGAGAUCCUGUAUGCAAAGGGGGAAAUUAUGAAUUGUUGAAUAUGAUGUCUUCAACACACUUCUCUUGCAGGAAUGAUCACUUCAGUUUAGUUUAGUUUAGUAUCAGUGAAGGACUUCUGACUGCGUCUUCUUUUUCUUUGCAUCGGUCGUGGACUAGCUACUUGAGUCAUGCAAUGAAGUUAAAAGACCCAACUACAGUCAGAUUGCUGAUUUUAUUAUGAAUUAUAACAACAAGCACCUUCUGAUUGGAAUCAUUUGCCAGAUAACCUGUGAACAAUUAACUCUUUUCAUACCUUUUCUGCUUCUGAUUGUACUGUAAUCUUUGUAAUUACCAUCAUUAGUGUCAAUACUUACAAUGUUAUUAGUUAAUAUGUGAUGUGAAAUCUCGUGGCUGUUUACAUUGUGUAGGCGGAGUGGCAAUACAGGAUUAAUGUCCUGGUGGGUUGAUGUAUGAGUGUGUUUGUAUGUGUUGUUGAAUGUCUCUGUGUCACUUGUAAUGUUGUGUAUUCAUAUGUUGUAUGAUUCAAUACAUUUUACAUUUCAAUCUGCUGAUGAAUAAUACCAUUUGGACUUCAGACCGAAACAAGAACUGUUUUGUUGCAGACAUUUGAGCCUCUCACCUGCAACAUCAUAAAUUAUAUGUUUAUAGAGAUCAUUUAUGUCACAUGCUAUAUGGAGACACCUUUGCUGUUAACAAUCAGGUGACACAUACAAUAGAACUGUUUUGAUGCAGAUCAUUUUAUUUUUUGAAAUUAAUUUACUGUAUAUAUUUCAAAUGUUACGUUCUAUUUUUUUUUUACAUAGUUUUAUUGCUAAUUUGUGUUUUUGCCAAUAUUUGAUCAUCUUGAUGCUUCUUAUCAAAUGUUUCUUUAAACCUUAAUGUGAAUAAAGCCUUUUUAAUUUAAAGCUA